UUUGAAAACUUUAAAGACCCAACAAACUUCGAAGGCAUUGCAGAGCAUCAUCUGAAAUUGUCGCUUCAGAACCUUAAUGAGGACAUCCUUAGGCGACAGUAAGUACAUCUUAGUCAUGGAUAAACUGUGAGUCUAAUGACAAGGAAUUCAACAAUCUAAAAUGAGAUUCCUCACUAACUUCUCAUAAACCUAAGGAACUAUAUGUAUCUUAGUUUGACUGGCACAAAAUUUUGAAAAAGCUAGGAAUACUUUUCAAUCUUAUGGUCUUAAAUAUAUCGUGUUGGAUGUUGGAGUUAAAAGAAUUACUAAAUAUAUAAAGUGACAUUGUUUCCAAAACAGACUAAAAUGAAAGUAAGACACAUAUAUUGAAA
rnacentral:misc_RNA from 1 species